GGGGGAUCUUCGGACCUCACGCUAUCAGAUGAGCCUAGGUCGGAUUAGCUAGUUGGUGGGGUAAAGGCCUACCAAGGCGACGAUCCGUAACUGGUCUGAGAGGAUGAUCAGUCACACUGGAACUGAGACACGGUCCAGACUCCUACGGGAGGCAGCAGUGGGGAAUAUUGGACAAUGGGCGAAAGCCUGAUCCAGCCAUGCCGCGUGUGUGAAGAAGGUCUUCGGAUUGUAAAGCACUUUAAGUUGGGAGGAAGGGCAGUAAGUUAAUACCUUGCUGUUUUGACGUUACCAACAGAAUAAGCACCGGCUAACUUCGUGCCAGCAGCCGCGGUAAUACGAAGGGUGCAAGCGUUAAUCGGAAUUACUGGGCGUAAAGCGCGCGUAGGUGGUUC
rnacentral:rRNA from 1 species